GGAGAUAGAACAUCUUGCUCUCACCCUUCUCAGUUUGCUGUUUCUAAUAGCUUUUAAAACAUUGUGUGUAGUAUUAAUAAUGUUGUUUAUGAGCAAAUGUAUGCAUUAGUUCAAGGUAUUUGUCUUAUUCUCAAGAGUUAGACUAUUUCCCUCUACCCAUCUUUUAAUUUUUUUACUAUCCUAAUUUGUAGGGUUAUAUAAAAGUGGAGGGGGGAGGGUUCAUUCAAGCUUUAAGGAGACUCUUGUAUUGUCUGAUACUAGGAGGAGUUGAAUGAUGCUAAGCUCUGCCUGAAAACAGGUCACUCACAGAACUGUAAGGUUGGGUCACUGUAGUUCUUUCCCCCAGUGGUUGUGUGUAUGUGUUCUCAGAGAUUUAGUAUACAAAUUUUACACAAAAGGAGUGUCUCCUUUUUCAGCUCACAAGGGAAGCUGUUUUUGGCAACUAGCGAACACCGAGCUGCAUCAGUGCUUCUGAUGGCUUUUCAAGCAUAUACCAAAAGACUAUGGGCAAACCCCAUAGACCAAAAAAAGGUCUUCUGCUAGUGACAAUACAGCUUAGGUGUUAGAGGGUUAGAAGAGAAGAGAAUAGUGCCUUGAAGACCAAAAGGGCUGCUGAAGGAAAGGGUGCUUUGGGGAUGAGAAAAGACAAACACUGCUGUUGUUGGAGAGAGGACCUUAGAGAACUUAUUGCCUGGAACACAAAUCCCACACGUGUCCUUCCUGUAGGCUUCAAGCAUUUCUAAGGCCAUAGUUUUAGGAUGGAAAGUUCUUCAAUUGUAUAGCAGAGCAAAUCUCUUGAAGAGCCUGGGGUGAUGAUGACUGCAGUGAGGAAAGCCUACAAACAACAGAAAAGCCACAAGCAUGACUUACUUUACUGGUGCAAAAAAAAAAUUUGAGCAGAGCCUGAUGAAAUGCUAAGGAGAGAGAAUGGACACAGAGCUCUUGACUGACAGAUGUUUUACUUAACUGAGCAGACGCUUGAACCUUGGGAUUCCCUUUUCCUUGAAUCAGGAUCUUCAAAACGACUACACUGUGAUAUGAAGAAGUCUGAUUUCCCAGAUAUUAACUCAUAAAUAUUAACAUUCUCAGAGUCCCUCUAGAAUAAUUUAGGAAAAUAAUUAUGUCUAUCCUUUUGGAAUAUUCUAGGUGAUGAGAAUGGAAGUGGUAAAUGGAGACUACAAAAAGAAUUAACUUUAGAAGGUUGAGUUCACCUGUGGUUACUGUACCUGUACUGUCAUCUUGGGUCAGCAAAACCAGCUGCUGUCAGGGGGCUGCAGGAUGGAGUGAAUGAGCUCACAGAAAAGACUGUCAGAUAGGAUUAGUUGGGAAGUGGGUCCAUGUAAUGAUCUGUAUGUCCACAUUUUGUUGUGUGUUAGUGGGAGACUUUAUUUUGCUUAUUCAUCUCUUCAUUCAUUUUAGCAAGACCUUUAUGAAAUUAGAAAGAACAGCCAUCCCAAAGCUCAGCAAAGCCCUUUAUCUGAGCCCUGUGUGACUGUCAUCCGUGUGAACAGGCAGCCCCUGGCCAAACAUGCAGGGAAACCUCCAGCUUCUUGUAGUCAGAUGAAUGUGGAGAUCUCUUCAAACAUGAAAUUUCUAAGCUGUAGGUUUGGGCAUUUCCUCAUAAAGAUUGCUGCAAAUUUCAUCUUGAAGUUCUGCAACACAGCCUGAUUUUCUUUCUCCUUGCCUCAUCUCCAUUCUCUCGCACAGCUUUUGGUUUGCUACUGGAAAGUGACACCUUGAGACAAAAUUAAUCUUAUUUCAGGAACUGUGCCCACAAAACAAGGAGAUGAAUGUUAAGUUCUGGUUAGUAUUAAAGAAAAAUAAAACACAGUAUGGCAUUAAAGCCCAUGUGAAGCCAGUGCUUGUGAGCAGUGCCAAAGUGAUGAUUACAGAGAAGAAAGGCUGUGAUUUAGCUAGGUAACAUGUAAUACAAGGGCUAUGCUACACUGCUAACAAGUCUAGAUACUAGGACUGUGUCUAUACCAUCUAAUUAAUAUGGCACUUUGCCUGGCCUAAUGAGUUCAGUUUCUUUAAUUAGGCCAGGCAGGAUGCAAUGCUGAUGUGGCCAUGCCACUCUGAGACCUUAGUGAGUAUCUCAGCAGGGUGUAGCAUUGUACCACAUAGACCCAUGAGCUUGUUGGCAUGUGGGAUCCCACAGGACGUAGUAGAUCUAUCUGUAGUCUUUGUUCAGUGUUAAUCCUUUGCUGAACUCCAAGAGUGAGUGAAAUGAUAGAAGAAUGACUGUGUGUUUGUACUGAAGUAAGUACUCUACUAAGGAAGAAUCCUAUAGCUCUCUGUGGGCCUCACAUGGCAACCGUGGUGCCUAUAUUUACUUCAUUAAAAAGUAUUCAUAUAUGCUGCUCUUUCCAGUAGCAGCAAGUUCAUACCUAGCCCUUGACUCACAGAGGGGAAGCUAUGAAUAAGGUGAGUCAAGUCACUUGUCCUAAAGCAGUGGACCUUCCAUCUGGUGGCAUGUUGAACAAGAGAUCUAUAUAACACUUCAAUUCACUCUGCAGAAACCCAUAGCUACUAAACUGAAAAAGGGAAAUACAUCCAUUUUUGGCUAAAACUGUAGAUUGUUCCAUUCAAUUUUCAACUUAAAAUGUCAUAAACAAUCGAAGUUUGAGAGAUCAUGCUCUCUGUGCAUCUGCCCAGGAGGAUGUCCUUGCACCUGCUGCCUGCAUUUCACAUGAAAUGAAAUUU